rnacentral:rRNA from 1 species
GCACGGGGAGGUAGUGACGAAAAAUAACGAUACGGAACUCAUACGAGGCUCCGUAAUCGGAAUGAGUACACUUUAAAUCCUUUAACGAGGAUCUAUUGGAGGGCAAGUCUGGUGCCAGCAGCCGCGGCAAUUCCAGCUCCAAUAGCGUAUAUUAAAGUUGUUGCGGUUAAAAAGCUCGUAGUUGGAUCUCGGUUUCACUCAGGUGGUACACCUUGCGGUGUUCACUAUCUGGGUGGACGUUUCUGUUGGUUCGCUCUUGGUGCUCUUCAUCGGGUGCCAUUUGGUGGCCAGCACGUUUACUUUGAAAAAAUUGGAGUGCUCAAAGCAGGCGUUACAGCCUGAACAUUAGUGCAUGGAAUAAUGGAAUGGGAUCUCGAUUCUAUUUCGUUGGCUUCCGGAGUCGAGGUAAUGAUUAAUAGGGACAGACGGGGGCAUUCGUACUGCGACGUUAGAGGUGAAAUUCUUGGAUCGUCGCAAGACGAACUACUGCGAAAGCAUUUGCCAAGAAUGUUUUCAUUAAUCAAGAACGAAAGUUAGAGGUUCGAAGGCGAUCAGAUACCGCCCUAGUUCUAACCAUAAACGAUGCCAACCGGCGAUCCGUCGUCGUUAAUUGAAUGACUCGACGGGCAGCCUCCGGGAAACCAGAGUGUUUGGGUUCCGGGGGAAGUAUGGUUGCAAAGCUGAAACUUAAAGGAAUUGACGGAAGGGCACCACCAGGAGUGGAGCCUGCGGCUUAAUUUGACCCAACACGGGAAAUCUCACCAGGCCCGGACACCGGAAGGAUUGACAGAUUGAGAGCUCUUUCUUGAUUCGGUGGGUGGUGGUGCAUGGCCGUUCUUAGUUGGUGGAGCGAUUUGUCUGGUUAAUUCCGAUAACGAACGAGACUCUGGCCUACUAACUAGAAGGUCUAUCCUUUAUGGGUAGGCCUCUGCUUCUUAGAGGGACGGGCGGCGUUUAGCCGCACGAGAAUGAGCAAUAACAGGUCUGUGAUGCCCUUAGAUGUUCUGGGCUGCACGCGCGCUACACUGAAGGAAUCAGCAUGUUCUCCCCUCCCUGAAAAGGGCGGGUAACCCGUUGAAACUCCUUCGUGAUGGGGAUUGGAGAUUGUAAUUAUUCUCCAUGAACGAGGAAUUCCCAGUAGGCGCGAGUCAUCAGCUUGCGUCGAUUACGUCCCUGCCCUUUGUACACACCGCCCGUCGCUACUACCGAUCGAGUGAUUUAGUGAGGACUUCGGACUGGUCUUCAAGUUGGCUUCGGUCGGCUCGAAGUUCCGGAAAGAUGCCCAAACUUGAUCACUUAGA